rnacentral:rRNA from 1 species
UAGGAUUUCCUCAGUAGCUGCGAGCGAACAGGGAYGAGCCCAGCACCGAAUCCCGCGGCCGAUACCGGGCGCCGGGAAAUGUGGUGUUAGGGAGGAUCCGUUUAUCCCGAGGUCGCGCGGCGCGUCCAAGUCCUUCUUGAACGGGGCCACAGCCCAUAGAGGGUGCCAGGCCCGUAGCGACCGCCGCCGAUCGCGGGAGGAUCUCUCCUCAGAGUCGGGUUGCUUGAGAGUGCAGCCCUAAGCGGGUGGUAAACUCCAUCUAAGGCUAAAUACGACCACGAGACCGAUAGCGAACAAGUACCGUGAGGGAAAGUUGAAAAGCACUUUGAAGAGAGAGUUCAAGAGUACGUGAAACCGUUUAGGGGUAAACCUGAGAAACCCGAAAGGUCGAAUGGGGAAAUUCAUUCGCGUUUCGACCGUCGGCGGCGAGCGAUCGAGUGACGGACGGCGUCCGCGUCGUCCGCGCCUUUCGUUCGUCGAACCGACGUCGAACGCGUGCACUUUUCCCCUAGUAGGACGUCGCGAUUCGUUGGGCGUCGGUCUAAGGCUCUCGCGGUGGAGCCCGCGCGGACGCUUCGGCGAUCCGCGCGGACCCGCGGUGUCCCGGCCGACUCGCUCGACGGUAUAACGAUGGCGCGAGGCCGCUACUUUCGGUUAGCGUUCGGCCCGCGGCAAGCGCGCCCGGCGUUCGGCGGCGAUCGGACCCGGUGCCGGUCCCGUCCCCGGGCGACUGUUGGCCGCGGUGUUCUCGAACCGACCUCGUAAGAAACGCCUAUCCGCGACGCUAUAGCUUUGGGUACUUUCAGGACCCGUCUUGAAACACGGACCAAGGAGUCUAGCAUGUGCGCGAGUCAUUGGGACAUCACUAAACCUAAAGGCGCAAUGAAAGUAAAGGUUCGCCUCGCGCGAACCGAGGGAAGAUGGGCGGUUCGCCCUUAAAAGCGGCCGCUCCGCACUCCCGGGGCGUCUCGUUCUCAUCGCGAGAAGAGGCGCACCAAGAGCGUACACGCUGGGACCCGAAAGAUGGUGAACUAUGCCUGGUCAGGACGAAGUCAGGGGAAACCCUGAUGGAGGUCCGUAGCGAUUCUGACGUGCAAAUCGAUCGUCGGAACUGGGUAUAGGGGCGAAAGACUAAUCGAACCAUCUAGUAGCUGGUUCCCUCCGAAGUUUCCCUCAGGAUAGCUGGCGCUCGUUGCGCACGAGUCUCAUCCGGUAAAGCGAAUGAUUAGAGGCAUUGGGGUCGAAACGACCUCAACCUAUUCUCAAACUUUAAAUGGGUGAGAUCUCCGGCUUGCUCGAAUUAAUUCGUUUAUCUGAAGCCGCGAGACACGGAUCAGAGUGCCAAGUGGGCCAUUUUUG